rnacentral:rRNA from 1 species
UACGGAGGGUGCGAGCGUUAAUCGGAAUAACUGGGCGUAAAGGGCACGCAGGCGGUUAUUUAAGUGAGGUGUGAAAGCCCCGGGCUUAACCUGGGAAUUGCAUUUCAGACUGGGUAACUAGAGUACUUUAGGGAGGGGUAGAAUUCCACGUGUAGCGGUGAAAUGCGUAGAGAUGUGGAGGAAUACCGAAGGCGAAGGCAGCCCUUGGAAUGUACUGACGCUCAUGUGCGAAAGCGUGGGGAGCAAACAGGGAUUAAGAUACCCGAGUCC